rnacentral:rRNA from 1 species
AUUGAACGCUGGCGGCAGGCCUAACACAUGCAAGUCGAGCGGAGGAAGGGAGCUUGCUCCUGGAUUCAGCGGCGGACGGGUGAGUAAUGCCUAGGAAUCUGCCUGGUAGUGGGGGAUAACGUCCGGAAACGGGCGCUAAUACCGCAUACGGCCUGAGGGAGAAAGUGGGGGAUCUUCGGACCUCACGCUAUCAGACGAGCCUAGGUCGGAUUAGCUAGUUGGUGGGGUAAAGGCCUACCAAGGCGACGAUCCGUAACUGGUCUGAGAGGAUGAUCAGUCACACUGGAACUGAGACACGGUCCAGACUCCUACGGGAGGCAGCAGUGGGGAAUAUUGGACAAUGGGCGAAAGCCUGAUCCAGCCAUGCCGCGUGUGUGAAGAAGGUCUUCGGAUUGUAAAGCACUUUAAGUUGGGAGGAAGGGCAGUAAGUUAAUACCUUGCUGUUUUGACGUUACCAACAGAAUAAGCACCGGCUAACUUCGUG